GAGAGAGAGAACGUGGAAGGGGGACAAAGGAGGAGCACAGAGAGAGAGAGAACGUGGAAGGGGGACCACAGAGAGAGAGAGAGAGAGAGAACGUGGAAGAGGGACGAAGGAGGAGGAGCACAGAGAGAGAGAGAACGUGGAAGGGGGACCACAGAGAGAGAGAGAGAACGUGGAAGAGGGACGAAGGAGGAGGAGCAUAGAUAGAGAGAGAGAGAGAGAACGUGGAAGGGGGACCUCAGAUAGAUAGAUAGAGAGAGAGAGAACGUGGAAGGGGGACGAAGGAGGAGGAGCACAGAGAGAGAGAGAACGUGGAAGGGGGACGAAGGAGGAGAAGUGUCGAGAGGCCAGGAUUAUGUAUGUGAGCUCCUUACUGUUGUUGCUUGUGGCCCGGGGAGUAGCAAGGAGCUGCCCAGCGCCGUGUAGCUGCUGGAACAAGGUGUCGGACUGCAGCGAUAAGGAGUUGGUGGUUCCGCCUUUCGGCUUGCCGCUGCACACCACCAACCUCAGCCUGGCCCACAACAGGGUCCCCGCCCUGCCCCCGGGCUACUUCUCCUGCUACACCGACCUGACGGUGCUCGACCUCCGCAACAACUCGCUGACCGAGCUGCCGGCCGGCCUCUUCCGGCCGCUGGUCAAGCUGACCCACCUGGACCUCAGCUACAACAACCUGAGCAGCCUGAGGCGGGGGCUGCUGCUGGGGCCGGCCCGCAGCCUGGCGCGCCUGGUGCUCAGCCACAACCCGGGGCUGUCGGUGAUCGCCCCGCGGGCCCUGGCCGGGCUGCCGCGCCUCCAGCACCUGGACCUCAGCUUCGACGGCCUGACCGGGGUCAGCCGGGACCUGCUGGACGCGCUGCCCGCCACCGCCUCCGUGCGCCUGGCCGGCAACCCCUGGCUGUGCGGCUGCUCCAUGGAGCCCCUCCUCAAGUGGGUGGCCAGGAACCUGCACCAGUGCAACUCCGAUUCUAGGGAAGUGGAGUGUGCUGGUCCACCAGAGGUCAAAGGUAUUCCACUCUUCACCCUGACCGAAGAGAGCUUUAAGGCAUGCCACUUCUCAUUGACCCUGGAUGACUAUCUCUUCAUUGCCUUUGUUGGCUUCAUUGUGUCCAUUGCAUCAGUCGCCACAAACUUCCUUCUGGGAAUUACUGCUAACUGCUGCCAUCGCUGGAACAAGGCAAAUGAAGAGGAAGAGAUGUGACACCUCCCUCCCCAACUUUGGUGGACGAACCAAUCGCAAAGCUGCAAGGUUAGACCGGUAUUUUGGCUCCUUACAUUCAGCCCACGCGAGGAAAGAGCGAGGGAGGAGAAAUGGGGAUGAGAUCAUGACGAAGACAACAUGUCUUGUCAGGGGAAGAGCUUGGCGUUCACGAAGAAACCCACUUUUCCUUUUAUAUUCUUUCUGUCUCCGGUAGUGAGAGGCAACCAAGGAAGGUACGGAUUUGAUUCCACCAGCCAUGACCCACUGAGCAAGGCUAGUGAGGAAAAAAGGGCAUUUUUGGGUGCCGUUGUACUGAACGAUUUGGAGAAGUUGAAUUUGCUCUGAGACUCGAAAGCCACUUCUAUGGGAGUCUUUGAUGAUAUUGGAGAGGAUGAUCUUGAAAAUAGAAUUCAAGUUUCUUGAUGUUAUAGCCAUCGGAACUGGAGAGUUAAGCCUUAUUCUUUAUGCUGUUUGUACGAUUGAAGAUCAGAGUUGACUCCAAAUCAUUCAACUGUAAUCAUCACCUCCGUUGUCAAGCAAUGGACGAUGCAGUUGAAUCUACUCAUUUACUAAGUUUUAACUGAGAUUGUAAUGGUGGAAAGUGACUGAGACUUUGCAACUUUGAAAUUCAGAUGAGAAGGAAAACUUUGAAAUGUUCACUCACUUUUACAAUCCGAUGUGAAGAAGAUCCGAUUGAAGAUGAUCUGAUAAGUGAAGACCAGAACUCUAAGCACUGUUUGAAGAAAAAUAAAGCUUAAAAAGAAACAAACAAGUUCAUUUGUCCUUAAUGCUGAGAAGGAGAGGACAGAGUUCAAUUCUAGCCUAAUUGGUAUCAAUCUAAUUGGCCUUUGGAACUUAGUUGAGUAUUCAAUGGACAAGAAGCAAAGGACUGUGAUUGCAAAUAGUUUUGACAUGUUUCCCAGCUAGGGUGAAGGUCAAGUGUAAUUACCUCCAAUUACUUAGUGCAGAACCAGGCCAUUUGGCCCAACAGGGCAAUGCUGAUGUGUCAAGCCUCCUCCCAGCCCCUAUUCCAUCUCACCUUAGCAACAUAACAGAUGGUGAGGAAAUGUACUGUGCUGUAUGGGAGGCUUUCAAAGGUAUGCACAUCUUGCACAUAGCUAACUGUGGGCGAUUCAGCGCUUGCUAUAAAUAUUUCACAAUCAGUCCUAAACUGAAUUUGAACUUUGUGAAACUGACGGAAGGAAAAGGCAAUUUGUCAAUAUCAUUAUCUUCAAAUAAAUGUUUGGGGAGCCUUGAUGAGCAAGGAUAUGACAAUAUUAAGACCAAUUUUAACAGGAUAUAUCUUGGUGAUGCAAACUGUGCAGGCAUCUGCUCAUUAAAAGCUGACUAGGUCUGACAGUUCCUGAUAAACACCUGAUUUAUGAGUGUGGAUACAAAAUACAGAGAGCUUCAUAUCCGUUGGGCUAUUUAAAGACAGAAGCAAAAUGAGAUUGAGAGGCUGCCUUCCCCGCCAAAAAAAAAAUAAAUCGGAUUGCUCAACACUCAAAUCUACAAGGAAUGUCGCAAUAUGAGGAACAUGAGGCCAUUCAGAUCCAUUGUGACUGCUCCAGCAUGCAUAUGGCCAUUUUGCAGCUCAACUCCUGUAGCCUCACCUUUCCCAUACAAUUCAUGCAUCUGUGCUCUCCACCCCACCAUUAUUUUAAAAUCUGGGUACAUCCGAAGACAUUUUAACCCUCUAGUGAAAGGAAUAAUUUCCAAGGAGUGGAAGAAUGCAUGAUGGAAGAAAACAACAAACUGAGGAAACCUUUGAAGAAGGGGGUGAAAUUAGGGAAGACAACUGUGACUGAGAAUGCUAGUGCAGUUGGGGAGGUGAGGUAAGCAUUUCAGGUCCUUUUCCAGCCUCAUGUCACCUUGACUUGAAACUACAUUGGCUUUCGGUCCCUUCAAAAUCCUGGGACUUCCUUCCAAAUGGCACUGUGUGGGUGGUUCCCUACACUACACAGACUGCAGUUGUUCAAGAACAGGCCUCUCCAGCUCCUCAAGCGGCAAUUAGACUUGGACACAAAUUCUGGUCUGGCCCACCAUGCCCCACAUCCCAAACAAUAGCUUUCAAAAGACACUUCACUUGAACCCAUUUUCUUGUCAAUUUCUAUUUUGGUUUGAUGUUGAAUUUUUCUUCACAGUCCUUGGAACUCAAAAAGCAGCAACGUCUCAGAAGCAAGCCAUGUUUGAGAUCCUUGGCUAAAUACCGGAUGGUUCGGACACUGAGGAUUUUCUUUUUCCUUUCAAAGAAUCCUACAGUACGGAAAGAGGCCAUUUGGCCCAUCACCAACCCUCUGAAGAGCAUCCCACCUUAUCCCCAUAACCUCACAUUUCCCAUGGCUAAUCCACCUAGCCUACACAUCGCUGCACACAAUGGGGUGAUUUAGCGUGGCAAAUCCAUCCUAACCUGCACAUCUUUGGGUUGUGUGAGGAAAUCAGAGCGCCUAGAGGAAACCCACACUGACUGCAAAUUCUACACAAUCGCCUGAGAUUGGAAUUGAACCUGGAUCUAUGGUGUCAUGAGGCAGGAGUGCUAACCACUAAGCUACUGUGCUGCCCUUGGACUCCAGGGAAUUGAGGGACACAGGAAUGGGCAAGAUCAGUGACCAUCCUAUGGAAUUGCAAACCAGCUUGAGGGACCAAAUGGCCUAUCCUUUAUCCUAUUUCUGGUACCCACAACUGCUCUUUUGAAAAAAAAAGCAAAUUUUUUGGAAUAUGAGGAUUGAUUGCAAAGCCAAGUCAUGUUGCAUGAGAGAGAGGGGUUGGGUGGGUGAGUGUGGAGAUAGGCAAGGAAAAGGCUGAAUUCUGAAAUCAAUUUGGGGAAAAGUGGGGUAAAUGUUAACAGGUUAUUAGCCAUUCAGACUUCACCCACAACUCCCUCUCCCUGAAACAUAAAAUCCCUUCAGUGCUGAAGCAGGCCAUUCGGCUCAUUGAGUCCACACCAACCCUCUGAAUAAUACCCUACCCUAUCCCUGUAACCCCAGACUUACCAUGGCUAGCUCACCUGUCCCUGGACACUACAAGACAAUUUAUAGUCAUAGAGACGUACAGCAUGGAAACAGACCAACUAGUCCAUGCCGACCAGAUAGCCUAAAUUUAUAUAGUCCCAUUUGCCAGCACAUUGCCCAUUACCCUCUAAACCUUACCUGUUCAUGUACCCAUCCAGAUGCCUCUAUGAUUUUAUAAAGCACUAAUAAUGUCACCCCAGCCUUUGACGCUCCAAGGAAAACAGCAUCAGCCUACUCAGCCUCUUCCUAUAGCUCAAACCCUUCAACCCUGGCAAAAUCCUUGUAAAUCUUUUCUGAACCAUUUCAAGUUUCACAACAUCCUUCCAAUAGGAGGGAGACCAGAAUUUCUCAUUCUAUUCCAAAAGUGGCCUAACCUAUGUUCUGCACAGCCACAACAUGUUCCCAACUCCUCUACUCAAUGCUCUUACCAAUAAAGGAAAGCAUACUAAAUGCUUUCUUCAUUAUCCUAUCUACUUGAGACUUACUUUCAAGGAACUAUGAACCUGCAUUCCAAGGUCUCUUUGUUUAGCAACACUGCCCAGGACCUUACCAUUAUUGUAUAAUUCCUGCCCUGAUUUGCCUUUCCAAAAUGCAGUACCUCACAUUUAUCUAAAUUAAACUCCAUCCAUUGGUCCAUCUGAUCAAGAUCCUACUGAGAUAACCUUCUUUGCUAUCCACCCUAACCUGCACAUCUUUUGGGCUGUGGAAAGAACCCUGAGCACCUGGGGGAAACCCACACAGGCACAGGGAGAAUGUGCAAACUCCAGGCAGUCGCUCAAGGCUGGAAUCAAACCAGGAUUCCUUGUAUCGUGAGGCAGAAGUACUAAUCACUGAGCCACUUUCUUCUCACCCAAAUAUUCUAGAGUGCAACGGGUGAAAUGUGAUUGUGAAACCUUGAAGGGCAGGAGCACUGCAGGAGAUGCUACAAUCAGCUUCAGUGCCAUCGCAACUUCUGAAGCAGGUCUAUUAGUGCCCGGACUCCAGCCUGGUUGUCCUGCUGUCUGACAUUUCACAUAGUGGGAUAUCCUCGCUGGGAUUUUUCGCUAAGCCAUUGCCUCCUCCUUGAGUGCAGGCAAUUAGCAUCUCCAUAGGAGCAUCCUGAAAGCUGUUUGUUCUCAGUUUUUUAAAAAAACUAUUUUUCCCUCCUUAAUGUACCAAGGCCUCCCUCCACUGCUCCCCGCAAACCCCCCCCACCACCACCACCCUACACUGGCAGUGAAACUGUGGGAGAAAGGCUUUUCAAAUUUGUACAUUAGCUUUUCCUGCCUGCUCUCGAAAAAGAAGUAAUUGAACUUGCACUUUGAUAUAUUUACACUGUGUACACAUUGUAUGGUAGCAUUUAUUGAAUCAUAUGGCACACAAACAGAUCCUUCAGUCCAACUCGUCCAAACUGACCAGAUAUCCUAAAUUAAUCUACUCCCAUCUGCCAGCAUUUGGACCACAUCCCUCUGAACCCUUCCUAUUCAUGUACCCAUCAAGAUGCCUUUUAAAUGUUCUAAUUGUUCCAGCCCCCACCAUUACUUCUGGCAGCUCAUUGCAUACAUACACCACCCACUGCUUGAAAAGGUUACCCUUUUUAAAUCUUUCCCCUUUCACCUUAAGCCUAUAACCUCUACAUUUGGACUCCCCUACCCUUGAGUCAAGGCCCUGGCUAUUAACCUGAUCCAUAUCCCUCAUGCUUUUAUAAACUUCCAGAAGGUCACCCCUCAGCCUACAAUGCGCCAGGGAAAAUAGCCCCAGCCUAUUCAGCCGCUCCGGCUAACUCAUACCCUCCACUUGUGGCAACAUCCUUGUAAGUCUUCCUGCACCCACUCAAGUUAAACAAUAUGUUUUCUAUAGCAGGAAGACCAGAAUUGAACACAGUAUUGUAAAAGUGGCCUAGCCAAUGUAGCCACAACAUGACAUCCCAACUUCUACACUCACUGCCUGAACAGACAGGACCAUGGAUUUGUUUGGAGGCUGGAGGAGGCCAUUUGGGCUGUUGUGUCUGUACCGGCUGUCUGAGUGUAAGCAUCAAACUCCUACCUUUCUUCCCGUUACCAUUGCAGCAUUGCAUUCUAACUCAAAUUAAUAUUCAGUGGGCUCUUGGUCAAACGAUCAUAUAAUGUCUGAGGGGGGAUACUGGAAGUCUGGGAGAAGCACGCAGCUCUGAACUCGACAUCUCCUGAAUUCAGGGCAGAUUUUACAAAAAUAUCGUUCCCUCCUUGACAUUGCCAUCCAAUUCUUUCUGCAUGAAACAACUCCCAGAAAAAAUCAUCUGCACCUUCAUUCCGGCUGGAUUUAACUUUGUUUCUCCCUCAUUUGUAACUUUAGAUGGUUUCCUUACCUGCUAUUUUAGAGGACUCUCACAAUACUAAAGGAGGCUUCUCAGCCCAUUCUAUCCCUGCUGGCAUCUGAACAGGCAAUUCAUAAAAGUGAUUCCUAGUGUUGUUGAUUGACCUAGAGAUAUAGGUACAGAGUUCCUUGAAAGGGGCUUCACAGGUAGACAGGCUGUUGAGGAAAACCUUUGGAACACUUGUUUUCAUCAGUCAGAGAAUUGAGUAUAGGAUUUGGGAUAUCAUGUUACAACUGUACAAGACAUUGGUAAGGCCACAUUUGGAGUACUGCAUACAAUUCUGGUCAUCUUGCUAUAGGAAGGGUGUUAUUAAACUGGAAAGAGUGCAGAAAAUAUUUACCAGGAUGUUACUAAAACUGGAGGAAUUCAGGUAUAAGGACAACCUGGAUAGGGCCAGGACCUUGUUUACUUCUGGAGCAUAGGAGGUUGAGGGGUCCCUGGUGCUGUGAGGCAGCAGUGCUAACCACUGAGCCACCAUACCGCCCAUGUCUCACUCCUUCUUCAUCUGCCCCAAAAUAUCCUUCUACUCUUCUGCCCUCAUAUGUUGAGCUAGUAUUGCUGUUAUUCAUCUCAACUGAUGCCUGUGGUUGUGGAUUCCAAGUGCUCACUACCCUUUGGGGAUUAGUGAUUGGCAAACGUAUAGUCAAUGGUUCCUCCAUUCUGGGCUUACCCACAUUUUCUCUUUGUCAACCUUAUCAAACUCUCCCACGUUCCUAAGACCUCAAAUGGUCACCUCUUAGCCUCUCUUUAAAAUGGAAAGACCCUCCAGCCUGUUCAGAUCUUCCUAAUUAUGAUUUUACAGUUCAGGUAGAGAACAGAGUCAUAGAGUCAUACAACACAAAAACAGAAGCUUCGGUCCAAACUAUCCAGGCCGAAUAUAAUCCCAAACUAAAGUAGUCGCAUUGCCUGCACUUGUCCCAUAUCCCUCCAAACCCUUCCUAUUCAUGUAUAUAUCCAAAUGUCUUUUAAAUAUUAUAACUGCACUACCAUUCACCAAUUCCUCACCACACGAACCAUUUGUUUCAACAAUUGCCCCUCAUUUUUUAAAACAUCUUUCUCCUUUCACCCUAAAAAUGUAACCUAGUCUUGAAACUCCCCACCCAAGGGAAAAUACACCUGUCAUUCACCUUAUCUAUGCCCCACAUAAUUUUAUAAAUAUCUGUAAGAUCACCCCUCAACCUCCUGUGCUCCAAAGAAAGAAGUCCCAGCCUAUCCAUAAAACUCAAAUUCUCCAUUCCUGGCAACAUAGAACAUAGAAAAGUACUGCACAGAACAGGCCCUUUGGCCCACAAUGUUGUGCUGAGAUUUAAUCCUAAUGUAAAAUAUAGUAACUUAACCUACGCUUCCCUCAACUCACUGCUAUCCAUGUGCAUAUCCAGCAGUCACUUAAAUGUCCCCAAUGACUCUGCAACAUCAUGGUAAAUCUCUUCUGAACUCUGUGCAGCAUAAUAAUAACUUUCCUAUAACAGGAUGACCAGAAUUUACUGCAUAGUACUCCAGAAGAAGCCUCACAAUCCUGUAGAACCUCAACACAUGAUGCCCCAACUCCUGUACUCAAAAGGUCUGAACAAUGAAGGGAAAAAUGAGAUGAGGCUGGAUCAAUAAGGAUAUACAAGGCUGAGAGAGACAGAGUUUUUUAAUCAGGAAGGGGAGUUAAGGGGAAAGGCAGGGAAGUGGAGCUGAGGAUUAGUAGAUCAGCCAUGAUCAUCAUAUCAGAGUGGAUUCAAUGGGCUGAAUGGCCCAUUUUGCUCCUCUGUCUUCUGGUUAUCUCAACUGGGCAAUUGUUUAUUGACAUGAAAGUACAAAUACUCCUGUCCCAAAACAAACAGAAGGUACCAAACUUUAUGUAGCACAGAUUAUGUUGAAAAUAGAGGAGAAUUUCUGGAUCAUAAAUACAUUGCAUAAUGUUCUAUAUCAUGUGAUAUGAAACUCUGAAGCUAGAUUAUUAAUGUAUAUGUGUUUAGAUGGCAUGAUUAUUGGCACAACCUCAUUCAAGGGAUGGAAACACUGAAUGAACUUUGCUUCCCCCUAAUCCGUACGUCAGUCAAUAAAUUGGUGAUUCCCGGUUUUAUUUCAGGGGUCUCCAAAUCUGUGAACAAUGGCAAAGCACACAGUCUCCUGGGUGAGCCAGUAUAAUUUCUCCAGCCAGCUGCAGUGAGUGAAGGCUAGCUGAAUGAUGUUAUAUAAAGCGCAGGAUUUCCAAAUCUCUUCAAGAGGGACAGAUGUGAUGGGCAGGGAAGAAAUUACUCAAUCAUUGCUGUCCUGACUGAGACUAGACUUGUGAUGCUCAAUGCACUCUUUUCAAGACCCAUACAUCAAUGCAGCUGUCAAUAUAUAUCAGCUGGUCCCAGGGAUGCGCUUUCCGGUGAUAGACCCCCGCCUGAUUCUGCUAAAACAAGUCAAUGUGAUUCACUCACAGGAUCUGCAAGUGUAGAGUACAAUACCUUUACAAAUGUCUAUGCACUUAAAGCACCAUUGUGUCUUUGAAUAGGCUCUAUCCAUAGGGGAUACAAGGUCUGCAAUAUUUGGGGCAGAGCUAUCCACAAAGUAAUUGUUAUAUUCAGUUACAGUUGCUUCUGACAUAGGUCAUUAGCACCAACCCUUCUCUGUCCAACAGACCAUCCCUUUCAUUUGGAAAGUUAGCCGAAUACAUUUCAGAUUUUGUUUUCCGUGUAUAAGCAUCGGCAUCAUCUUGUGGGUCUUUUUCACGCUGCCAUUUCCAGGUAACUAACUUGUAAAUAAAUCUCGUGAUUUUUGCCUGAAAAUAAUGUGUGUGACGUUGCCACCUUACGAAGGUAAACCAGAUGGGGGCAGAUGUUAUGGCCUUUGCUGAGGAGUCCCACUGAGGCCAGUCUUCAUCAAGAGAAUUCACACCACGCUGUUCCCAUUCCCAUCACUGUAUGAGAUGAUGAAGUUUCUCCUGAUUUCCCCAUCGGGAUUCUUGGUGACAAUGUUACAAAGAUGGCCUUUAGAUCUUCUCUUCCUUACUGUAGGACACAUCUCUACAUUCAGUCAAACUGGGGCUUUCUAACCUUUUCAAACGGGUGGGGGCACAUUUUAGUUUAUUUCUCACUCGAUGGGGGGGCAGGAGGGAAGGAGAGGUGGUAUACAAAUUUCACACAUCCCCCUCUAUAUCCCUCUCACCCCCCUUAGAAUUGGUGGCCCAAUCCUCACUUCCCAUUUUACCAAACAUGAACUGUUUGCCAAACUAGAACUUCUGUUCUAGUCCCCCAGCAUCUUUGAUGAUUUUGUCUAAAACAAUCAAAAACAGUCGGGGAAUUGGACUAAUGUCGAGUAGUGGCAGUAUCCUUACCUCUGAGCCAGGAGACCAGAGUUCAAGACCCACCUAAUCAAGAGGUGUAUAACAGCAUCUCUGAACAGGUUGAUUAGAAAACAAAAAGGUGCAUUAGGAGAUCUUCCAAUCCUAGAAUUGCUCCUCUCCAUCUGGAUCAUACCUCGUUCCAAUUUAAAGCCCUUUCAUCAAGCAAUUGAUGUUGAGGCAUUUUAGGCACCAAGGUGGUGCUGAUUGGUUCGAUGGUCGUUGACAUGGGAGAUGCAACAAGAAUAGUUAACUGUCAAUCUUCACUCACAGUUGGUAAACAGAUUCUGAUUUGUCACUGCGCUGCCAAUGGCGUGCAGCAGAGGGCUUUCAGAAAAGGUACAAUGUGUCCACAAAUUACUCCUUUCCUACAUAAAACUGAGCCUUGUAUGCUUAUAUUUAGCUUCCUGCACGUGCAAAUGCAUCACUCUACAAACCUAGCUGAUCUGACAUUUGUUUCUGUUGUAAACCUUAGCACAGUCUGGAUUGUUUAAUAAAUGAUACACAACCACAGA